UAUGAAGAACGUAGCGAAAUGCGAUAAGUAAUGUGAAUUGCAGAAUUCAGUGAAUCAUCGAAUCUUUGAACGCACAUUGCGCCCCCUGGUAUUCCGGGGGGCAUGCCUGUUCGAGCGUCAUUUCACCACUCAAGCCUCGCUUGGUAUUGGGCAUCGCGGUCCGCCGCGCGCCUCAAAUCGCCCGGCUGGGUCUUCUGUCCCCUAAGCGUUGUGGAAACUAUUCGCUAAAGGGUGUUCGGGAGGCUACGCCGUAAAACAACCCCAUUUCUAAGGUUGACCUCGGAUCAGGUAGGGAUACCCGCUGAACUUAAGCAUAUCAAUAAGCGGAGGA
rnacentral:misc_RNA from 1 species